ACUGAGAGCAUCACCCAACAACUGCACCCUCCACUACAGAAUCCUCUGAGAGCACAGCCAGUCACCAUGACCUGGAGCUGGAGAAUCCUCUUCUUGGUUGCCCUGGCUACAGGUGUGUACACCCAGGUCCAUCUGUUACAGUCUGGGGCUGAGGUGAGGAAUCCUGGAGCAUCCGUGAAGGUCUCCUGCAAGGCAUCUGGAUACACAUUCACUGACUACUAUAUGCACUGGGUGCUACAGGCCCCAGAACGAGGACUUGAGUGGAUGGGACGAAUUGACCCUGAAGAUGGUGCCACAAAUAUUGCACAGAAAUUCCAGGCUAGAGUCACGCUUACAGCAGACACAUCCACAAGCACGGCCUACAUGGAACUGAGAAGUCUGAAGUCUGAGGACACGGCUGUGUAUUACUGUGCAAGACACAGUGUGAGAACCCACAUCCUGCAUGUGUCAGAAACCAUGAGAAGGGACGGCUUUGUUGGUGGGUUGAGGAGGAAGGGGACAGAGUAUGCCUGA